GCGAUUUCAAUUUCGAAGCUCCAGAGCGGUGUUUCUCUUUCUCUCUCCCUAGAUCUCUCUCUAUCAACCCUCUCAGAGUUUCAUCUCUGAGAUUCAGAGAUUCAGUCGGUCUCAGUGAUUUCAUCUCAGAGCGAUUUCGAUUUCGAAGCGCCAGAGCAGUCUCUCUCUCUCUAGAUCUCUCUCUCUGUCAACCCUCUCAGAGAUUUUUCUUUGAGAUUCAAAGAUUCAGAGAUCAGUCUCAGUGAUUUCAUCUCAAAGCGAUUUCGAUUUUGAAGUUCUCUCUCUUGAUUUCGAAGCUCCAGCGAGGUAUCGAUUUCUCUCUCUCUCAAGCUCUUCCUUCCCGUCUCUCUCGAUUUGGUAUUUAUUUUCUUGGAAAACCUAUUCAAUUUCUUCUUUUGUUUGCUUUGUCAUUCUUCCUUAAUAUGUUGUGUUUUUGUUUUGAGAAAAUGCCAAAUGUGCUUGUGAUUAUGACAUUUGUUGGAUUUGAGAUCAUUUGUUGGAUUUGUUGGAUUUGAGAUCAUUUUUGGACUUAGUUGAUUAUUUAGUUUUCUCAGAUGGUGAUCACAAUGGCGGACGUUCUACUCAUUCUGCUCAUCUUGUUGAGGAAAAGUUGUCUGGCUCUUUCUCUAUGAAAUAAACAAGCUAGUGGAUAUUGCUCGAUCUGUAGCCAAUGUAAACACUAACGACUACAGUGCCUUGGAGUAUUUGCUUGACCGUCUAGAAAACC